UAUGCCGGCCGCUUCUGAUUAGUACGCGGAGCGACUCCCCGUUUCUGAUUUUCUUGUGUCCUGCGGUGUCUCUCUUCUCUUUUCUUUUUCCAUAGAACAGUUCUGGUUUUCCCCCAAAAAAUUAUUAUAAAUUCUUUCUUCGAGAAGAUCUGCGGACGAAAAUAUGUGGAAAAUUUAGAGGGAGGCGAGGCCGCGAGAAUCGUCUACGUCGGCUCCAAGAACGCCUCCCAAGUCACCUACAGGAUCUCUCGCCUCGUCGCCGAUGAUCCUGUUGAUGAGGAAGCUCCAGCUGAUCUGUUAAAAGAAUGAGGAUUCAUGAUCACCUUAGGAAAGAUGGAUAUGCUGCAAAUGCAGAAAAUUGUGUUGGUUAUCAUCUCCACUAAGAAACACGAUGAUUUAGCAAGGAUCAUCUUACACAAAGAUGGAAAUUGGAUUUGUAAAAAAAUAUAUUGAUAUUAUUGCGAAUUAUGGAGAGGUGGCUUAGUUGCUAGCUGCUCUAGAGUUUAACAAAAAGAAAAAGAAAUUUAGUUUCUGUAAGAUAUGCAGUAUACUGAGAUUUUAUCUUGAUCUUUUGCUGCUAUGUGCUGCAAGUUUCGAUUCCUUAUGGUAUAACUUUUUUCUCCAUGUUGAUGUGGCCAAGUCAA